AGUCUCUCCUUUACAGGCCCUCAUUGGAAUAUCAAGUCCUGUGCUUCGUUUCCAACCCGUUUCAUACUACAUCACCACCUUACCAUAUUAGCCUUUCCCACACCUUUGUAAUCUAAGGACGUCUUCACCAACAGAUAUGUUCCACCACCUCCUUUUCUUGCUCUCCGGUUUGUUUGCAUUGUCCUUGUCCAUCCCUGUGCCUAAAGGCUUUGCCAGUCACUCAGACAACAUUGAGUUUUACGAUGACCUGGAGAACUCACGGUUCCUGUUGGGUUCCGAGCUCGGACCCAACAUCGCCCCACGGGUGGAGCUGCCCCCCGAAGACACACCUUGGACCGAGGACCCAGGAUUCAUCCCUCUUCCUAUUAAGGAGAACUUCCUCAAACACUGAAGCUGUGCACUAAAACUGUGGUCUGUGGUCAGAAACCACAUCGAAACGUUUCAAACAAUUCUUAUCUGAGAGUAAUCCUUUGGAGAAAGAUGUGAAGAUUUAUUUCAAUGUGACAAUGAAUGAAGAAUGAAGAAAUGUGCAUAGACCUUACUCUAUGACUAAGAAGCUAAGAAAAUCUGACAAGUUUUAAAAUGUAACAUUACACUGUUAUUUUAUGCUGUGAAUUGUACAGUAUAUUUUCAUUCUGUUAAUACAAAGACAAUAUACAAACACA